rnacentral:miRNA from 1 species
AAUGACCCUGUUUACACAUAUAU